AUCUGGGAUUGAUAACACCUUAUUUCAUAUCCCUUUCGUAUCACUUUAUAAGUCACAUGUUUAUACAGAAACAUGCUAUUCCUGGAAAUAUGAUCAUGGCUAUAUACCGCCUCCUGUAUUUUGCCGUUACCCACGUGAUAAUUGCCAGAAGUGGACAAGAUGUGAUUAACGAAGUUUUCAGACUCAAACGCAUCUUGGCGCAAAGUCUCUCGCGCACCGAUCGAAAUUCAUCCGAGCUAAGGAGCCUGAAAGACUUCUAUCACCUGGUUUCCGUGGAGCCCCUCAGGAUAGAGCUGAUGCCGACCAUCCCAAUCGAGAUGUACCUCAUCCCAGCAGUUUUAUCUUUGACUGUCAAUUACAUUAUAGUCUCUCUGCAAAUGAAUCACGAUAUAUAAUUUUGUAAAAUUUAACCAUUUCACCACUAGUCACCAGUAGUCAUGCACAAAAUUAUAGAUGGCGCUUACACACACGAUUUUUCAUUCCUAGUUUUAAUUUAUAAGUACAUAGUACGAAAUUGUAGAGUAAGUCGAGUAUUUUCAUGAAAAACAAUUUUGUGGUAACAUUUAUUAUUGUGAUGAUUGAUAAAUGCUAUUACUCGUAAUUGUUUAAUGUGUUUUAUUGGUCGGUCUCGGUCACAUGUACGA